UCCCUCUCGGUGUCGCACCUGGAGAGUUUCCAGUCCUCUACCAGUCUCGGCUAUGGGAGGGAGAGUCCGGCAAGGGCCUACCCAUUCCAUUCCAAGCUUGGGCAGUGACUAGCGACUGGAAGGCAUCCUGCUACAGUA